rnacentral:lncRNA from 1 species
UUCAUUGAGCCUUAGAAUAAAAACGCUGCCUCCAGAAACCUAGGUUGUCCCCAUCCUCUGUCCCACCCCUGCGCCCUUCACCACCAUUCCCUUUCCCUCUGCCCAUCUCUCACCGAUUCAAUUUCAACGAUGCUGCUAUGCAGAUCUAGAUCCAGGUCGUCGGAUCCGUCUUUAGCCAGGGUGCGCGGCUGAAGCGCCCCCAAGCCCAUCACCGAUGCGGCCUCUCCUCCACUGGUGGCGCUGCCUCCCCUUCCUCUCCUACAUCGACGGGGACAUGAGGUGGUGCUAGGCCCGGUGCAGCGGCUGACGUUGAGGAGGCCAAGCUGACUCUGCAUGUCGGUGAGUCCCUCAUCUGUACUCUCGUGCGGCUAGCAUUUUUUGGAGGGGUCACAUCUCUUCUUUCUAUGUGUGCAGGAGGUGUGCAUCCGUGGG